AGAGUUUGAUCCUGGCUCAGGAUGAACGCUGGCGGCGUGCCUAACACAUGCAAGUCGAACGGAGAUUACAGACGGAAGUUUUCGGAUGGAAGACUGUAAUUCUUAGUGGCGGACGGGUGAGUAACGCGUGGGCAACCUGCCCUAUACAGGGGGAUAGCAGCUGGAAACGGCUGGUAAGACCGCAUAAGUCGGCGAGACCGCAUGGUUUUGUCGGGAAAUGAGCAAUCAGGUAUAGGAUGGGCCCGCGUCCGAUUAGCCAGUUGGCAGGGUAAAAGCCUACCAAAGCAACGAUCGGUAGCCGGACUGAGAGGUCGGACGGCCACAUUGGGACUGAGACACGGCCCAAACUCCUACGGGAGGCAGCAGUGGGGAAUAUUGGACAAUGGGGGCAACCCUGAUCCAGCGACGCCGCGUGAGUGAAGAAGUAUUUCGGUAUGUAAAGCUCUAUCAGCAGGGAAGAAAAUGACGGUACCUGACUAAGAAGCCCCGGCUAACUACGUGCCAGCAGCCGCGGUAAUACGUAGGGGGCAAGCGUUAUCCGGAUUUACUGGGUGUAAAGGGAGCGCAGGCGGUUUGGCAAGUUGAGAGUGGAAGCAGGGGGCUCAACCCCCUGACUGCUCCCAAAACUGUUAAACUUGAGUAUGGGAGAGGCAGGCGGAAUUCCUAGUGUAGCGGUGAAAUGCUUAGAUAUUAGGAAGAACACCGGUGGCGAAGGCGGCCUGCUGGACCAAAACUGACGCUGAGGCUCGAAAGCGUGGGUAGCAAACAGGAUUAGAUACCCUGGUAGUCCACGCUGUAAACGAUGAAUACUAGGUGCUGGGAGGCAUAAGCCUUUCGGUGCCGUCGCAAACGCAUUAAGUAUUCCACCUGGGGAGUACGUUCGCAAGAAUGAAACUCAAAGGAAUUGACGGGGACCCGCACAAGCGGUGGAGCAUGUGGUUUAA
rnacentral:rRNA from 1 species